UAGAAUUGACCAUGGGGAAAUAUGGAGGGUUAGCAGGUCACUUUGGGCUGGAUCUUUAGGGGUUAUUAAAGAAAUACCCCUUUUCUCCAACUGUAGCAUCUUGUCUUCCCUGCCCCUACAGAGGUGUCAUGAGCAGUGCUUUGUGAUGCCCAAGCCACCUCAACACAAUCGUUGGCUAGGGGAUCUCCCUGAUGACCAAACAAAGCUGAAGGCGUGGCUCCUCACUGGUCAGCAGGCCUGGGGCAGACCACUGAGAGGCUUUAACAUGGCUGGUAAGAUCUGUGCACCAGAGGAGACUAGCACAAGUAUGAAACAAUCAAACAAAAGCAUGAAACAGCCAGCCCCAAGAAUCAGAAAAAAGAAGAGUUCUUGUCGACCAAAGCCCAGAGCCAGUGGCAAGGUGCAGAAGAAAACCACAAAGCCAAAAAGACCUCUUCAAAGGAAUUUGAGAAAAAAAACUCCUCGAGCAUCCCCUUCUUCCUUAAGAAUGCCUAACACAGCAAUAAGGCCAACGAUAUUCAUCUGUUACCACAAGCUGAGUGAGAAACAAAAUGAAAAUGAGCCGAGAGGGAAUAAGAAGCACUGGAAAAUCCAAAAGUUCCAAGUAACAUCCUGUACAGCUAGCAAAUGCCAAGCAUGGGCUAGAAACCUUGCAUCUUCUGAAGCAGCUGUGGAGAACUGGUCAAACACAUAAAGAUCAAAUCUGGAGCAACAGGGUACACAGAUUGAUAAAAGGAAAGUCAACAAGUUGUGAAAAGGCAAUGUGUUUGUGUGUCUAUGACAGAUGAAGGGGAAAAAAUGAAGAGACAGGCAUGUGAGUAGAGAGGGAGGUGAGGUCCUGGACGGUUGGGGGCCAGACUGGCAGGUCCACAGUUAGCCAGACAUGGGGAUAAGGACUGCAUGAGGACUGAGAACUAAACACAAAUAUUCUCAGCAGUUUGUCCCACAGGCAAGAAGAAAAAGAGCUUUGGUGGUUCUAUGUGUGUUUGGUGUAGAGACGGGGCACAAAGUCAGAGCUGAGAUUGCCAGAACCCAGAUGGGAAGAGGGUUUAAUGCGUGGUGGGUGACAAUGACACUCCUCCUAAAACAGUAGACAACAAAAGCACCUUCAGGUCACCUAACCACCUCCGGGUGACGUAUGCCAUUGUGGUGUGCAUUGUACCCCACCCAGUGCUGUAAGCCACCAAAGGCCUUCAGAGAGACAAAAUCUCACCCUAUAGAAAGUCACCAACAGCACCCCCACACACUAAAAUAAUGGUGUUUGGAGGCCACAAAUGCAAGAGCAAUUAAUUAGGCUAUUUUCUUGUUACGAAGGUUUGGGUGGAGGAAUGGCCUACCAUGGGUAGGGCAGUGGGAAUGGUCUGCCCACCUGCAGGCAAUAAAAGGAAACAGCAAAAAAACAAAACAAAACAAAACAAAACAAAAAACAAAGAGGAAACAGUGUCCACAGAGAAUUUUAAUAUAAGAACAACAAAACCCAGUAAAAGGCAAUCUUGUUUUUAUUAGCACCAUAAUCAACCAUUUCUAAAUUUUAAUAUAUAUGUAAGGUCCAAAUUAGCCAAUUUUUAGAAUGCAUGUUUUAAUAAUCAUCUUAUUCUACAAGGAAGUUACUUUGACAAAUUCUUGUCAAAUAGUUGGUCCCAGGGAGAGGCUGUUCUUUUCUAAAGUAAGUUCUUAACCAUUUAGAAUCAUUUGAGCUUGCUUUGAGCACACUUCCAGACUGCGAUCCCUGUGGCCAUAUAUAAUACACAUAACCCAUAUUUUUAAAAAUAUUUUAUUUAUUUAUUCAUGAGAGACACACACACAGAGAGAGAGAGAGGCAGAGACACAGGCAGACGGAGAAGCAGGCUCCAUGCAGGGAGCCCAACGUGGGACUCGAUCCCGGGACCCCAGGAUCAUGCCCUGGGCUGAAGGUGGCGUUAAACCAUUGAGCCACCCAGGGAUCCCCACAUAAUCCAUAUUUUAAAAGUAGAUUCUAAAUUUAAAAUUAUAGCACAGUGAUUAUAAAGACAAAGACCAACUUGAGUUACUUCGGCUGAGAUUCCAUGCAAUCAAUUUUUUUUAUUGACGUCUAAAUUGGUGAAGCAAAGUGCAAUUCAAAGAAUAAAGUUUUAGAGUGUAAUGAAACUUUUACUUUGUUUGAAAAUAAAUAUUUUCCUGAAUUUAAACAAUAUCUUUUUAAAAGAUAUUUUUUCAUUUGAGAGAGAGAGAGAGAAUGAACAAGAGCAGGGGAGGGGCAGAGGGAGAAGAAGACUCCCUACCAAGCAGGGAGCCUGACCCAGGGACCAUAUGCAGACCCUGAUCCCAGGACCCUGAUUCCUGGACCCAGAGAUCAUGACCUGAGCUGAAGGCAGAUGCUGAACCGAAUGAGCCACCGGGGCACCGCAUAAACAUCUUUAAACAUGAAAUGCAUUCCUUAAUUGUUCAUUAUUUUAAUACUACAUUAAAAAUCAAAAUAACAUCUUAGAUCGGUUGUAUGAUUUAGUAGCUGCCUAAAUUGUAACCUUUGCACGUGUUUUGAUCUCAAAAUCUCCUUAUGAUUUUUACAGUGAUAGUUAUGUAUAAAAUGUUCCAUAUGGGCAUCUGGCUGGGUCAGUUGGAAGAGCAUGAGAUUCUUGAUCUCGGGGUUGUGGAUUCAAGCCCCUUGUUGGGUGUAGAGAUUACUAAAAAAGUAGACUACGUAAAUUCAAAAUGUGCAAUUUGGUGAGUUUCAAUAUACAUAAACAUCUGGUAAACCAUCACACCAAAUCACAAUCGUGAAUAUAUCCAACUAUAAUCCCUUAAAGUUUCCUCAUGCCUCUUGAUGAUCCCUCCUCCCCCUCACCACCUCCAUCCCCAAGCAACCAUUAAUCUUCAUUCUAUCACUACACAUUAGUUUACAUUUUCUAUAAUUUUAUAUAAAUGGAAUCCCAGAGAACAUCCUCUUGUGACUACCUUCUUUCACUGGGUAUAAUUAUUUUGAGUUACCUACACUGUGUAAAUCAGUAGUUCAUUGCUUUUUAUUGCUGAGUAUUCCACAAAAAAAAAUUUAGCCACACACUGUCCAUUCACCUGUUGUUAAACAGGUGGUUGCUUCCAGUGCUUAGCUAUUACAAGAAAGGUGCUAGAAACAUUCAUGUACAAGUCUAGGUACGAAUAUAGGGUUUCCUUUCUCUUGGGUAAACACCUAGGAAUGGCUAGAACACAUGCAGGUGUUUAACUUUUUAAGAAACUGUCAAACUUUUUUUUCAAAGUGAUUGUACCACCAGCAGUGUAUGAAAGUCCCAGUUCCUCUACAUUCUCACCACUUGACAUGAUCAAUCUUUUUUUUCCUGAAUGUAAAUCCAUUUUUACCUUUGGUUCUGUCUUAUCCUUUCUCUACCACACUCCUGUUAUUUUUUUAAAAUUGUAGUUGACAUACAAUGUUAUAUUAGUUUAAAUCUAUAACAACCCUACACAUUAUGCAAUGCUCGCCAUAAAUAUAGUCACCAUCUGUCGCCAUACAAAGUUAAUUACAAUAUUAUUGACUAUAUUCCCUAUGCUGUACUUCUCAUCCUCAUGACUUAUUUUAUUUUAAACAUUUUAUUUAUCCAUUCAUGAGAGACACACACACAGAGAGAGAGAGAGAGAGAGAGACAGAGACAAAGGUGGAGAGAGAAACAGGCUCCCUGCAGGAAGCCUGAUCCCACAUCAGUAUCCUGGGAUCAUGCCCUGAGCCAAAGGUAGAUGCUCAACCACUGAACCACCCAGGUGCCCCUGGUCCAGAGAUUCUUUUUUUUUUUAAAGAUUUUAUUUAUUCAUGAGAGACACACACACAGAGAGAGAGAGGCAGAGACACAGGCAGAGGGAGAAGCAGG
rnacentral:lncRNA from 1 species